rnacentral:rRNA from 1 species
UACGGAGGGGGCUAGCGUUGUUCGGAAUUAUUGGGCGUAAAGGGUGUGUAGGCGGCCUGUUAAGUCGAAUGUGAAAUCCCCGGGCUCAACCCGGGAACUGCGUCCGAUACUGGCAGGCUUGAAUCCGGGAGAGGGAUGCGGAAUUCCAGGUGUAGCGGUGAAAUGCGUAGAUAUCUGGAGGAACACCGGUGGCGAAGGCGGCAUCCUGGACCGGCAUUGACGCUGAGGCGCGAAAGCCAGGGGAGCAAACAGG